AAAGUCGUAACAAGGUCUCCGUUGGUGAACCAGCGGAGGGAUCAUUACCGAAGUUACCUUCAAAACCCACUGUGAACCUUACCUCUUGCCGCGUUGUCUCGGCGGGAGGCGGGGUGCGUCAAGGCCCUCGGGCCGCGCCGCUCCCCGUCCCCGCCGGCGGCGCCAAACUCUAAAUGCACAGCGGACUGUACGUUCUGAUUUACAAAAAAAACAAGUUAAAACUUUCAACAACGGAUCUCUUGGUUCUG
rnacentral:misc_RNA from 1 species